AACUCGCGCCGGCUGCGCUGACGGUGAGAAAUGUGGAGAGAGAGAUAAGUAGUAUGCUGUCUGUUUUGUUUAUUUUAUUUAGAAAUAAAUUUAGCUGAGAAUGUGAAUCAUUUAGGAUUCAAAGUCGAGACCUCGGAUACCAACCAUCAAUCUUUUUACCACUUGUGCUAGGGACGGUCAGUUACUACUAGUAUAUAUAUUCACUGAUAGAGAA
rnacentral:lncRNA from 1 species